GGAAGCGGCUCGGGCGGGCGCAGGGUCGCGGGUGUAGGGUGGCGGCGCUCCGCCUUUCACCGACGCACCUGGGAGAAACAGACCGGAGGACGCGGGUGGCGCGGAGCACGAGAAACAACGAGUUUCUGUCUAGAUCGUGGGGGACCCAAGCCCGGGGUUGCGUCCAAGGUCGGGGAUGGAGAGGACGCGACCCCCGCGGCAGUCGAGAUGGCCUUUUUAAAAUUCUAUAUUUGAGAAGGAGUCUCGCGCUGUCGCCCAGGCUGGAGCGCAAUGGCGCGAAAUCGGCUCAUUGCAGCCUCGACGUCCAGGACUCGAGCGAUCCUCCCGCCUCAGCCUCUCGAGAAGGUGGGACCACCGGUGGGCACCGCCACGCCCGGCUAAUUUUUAUUAAUGUUUUGCUAGAGCCGGGAUCUUGCUGUGUUGUCUGGCUGGUCUUAAACUCCUGGGCUCCAGCGAUCCUCCCUCCUCGGCCUCCCAAAGCGCUGGGAUUACAGGCAUGAGCCACACUGCGCCUGGCCAAGCUAGUGCAUUUUAAUUGACCUUCACUUCAUGUCAAUUUAUUUUUUACACUAUUCCAUUUAGUCCUCAGAACAGUUCUUUAGAAUUGGGUAUUGCUCCGUUUACGUGGGAAACAUAGCAGCGAGGUAACGGGCUGGGUCCCGUGCUGGGAACGGGAGCCCUGCUCAUCUGACUGCUUGCACCCUGUGCUGUCUAUGCUGGGCGUACUGGGGGGCGUUAGGGAAGAGACCACAGGUACGAUGCAAUGCCUGUCCUCAAGGAGCCCAUUGUUCUCAUGGGAACACAAAGCUGACACAUCGAGAACAAACUAUGGAACAGGCUGUGGCUGAGGGCCAUGAAGGAAGGCUGCCAAGUCCGGGCCCAGCCAGGUAGCAGCCACACCUCUAUCUACCCUGCUCCCCAACACUGGGCACCAGCACUCACCUGCCCAGGACCCACAGUGAAAACCCACCCACAAAAAAUGCACUUUGGAGAAGAGUAGCAGGUCCCAGGCAGAGCCAGGGCCACCUCUCAGAAAGGACAUCAAGUUUCUCGCCCAGCUGAGAGAUGGACAGAUGACCGCACAAGCCACUCACAGCCCAAGGUGAUGGACUCUAGGAUAUAUUCAAGGCUGAGCAACUGGCUUGAAGUCGUGUCUACUUACAUAUUCAAAGACCUAGUGAGCAUUCACAAGUCAUUCUUUUUACCCUCCAACUAGCCGUGUUCUCAACCAGUCUACCUAGGAAUGCUGUUGGCUGUGAAAACUCCAGAGGCUGGUAUCUUUAGAGUUCCUUCAGGGUGCAUUCAGCAUCUGAGCCUAGCGACUCUUGAGGUGAAAGUGCUCACGUUUUUUUUUUGGUGAGAGAGUCUCACUCUGUCGCCCAGGCUGGAGUGCAGUGGCGCAGUCUCAAAGUGCUCAUCUUUAUGUACUUUGGAUGCCGGUGAAUGCCUAUUGUUUCAGCCAGCUGGAUCACUUUACCUGUUAACCAUUCCAAUGAGUGGCCAGAAGGCUCCUCUCCAGGCCUCACAGAGGGAAACACUGGUCUAGUGAGAGACCUGCGUCCUGCCCAUCAGGACCGAAGCGGCACGCGUGAGGAUCCUGCAGGCCAAGAGACAACAGCGAUUACAAACCCCAGUCCCAGCCUUGCAGCUGACCUUGCAGGUGACGCCCUGCCUGGGUGUCUCGGUGCAGCUGCACAUCAGGGGCCUCUGCUGGACAGAAGCUCUGAGUCCACACUUGGCCCCCAGGCGCUGGAGCUGGAGCACUGCCACGAGAGGGGAUGCUGCCGUGGCUGCGCCAGCUUCAGCCCUUUCCCUGCACCGAGAUGUCCCAGUGAGCGGCUGGGUGCUCACAGUUCCCGUUGGGCCAUCAGAGGAAGAUCAAAGAUCAACCCUCCCCCAUGGGCUCCUGCCUGCCUGCCAGGUUUUCCUGUCUCCUGGAGGACAAGGAUGAGGGCUUUCCACUUGAGUCUCCCUGGUGGAGCCCAGCUCCUGACAUACCUGGUAAAAGUUCUCAAGAGAAGAACAUGGAGGAGGAAUGUGGAUAACAACCCUGGCUGCCUGUGUGUUCCAAGCUAGGAAGAUGUAAUGUCCCCACAAACGGGGUAAAUGGCUUGCCUGCGUCACAGCUGUCUCAAGCCCAGGCCCUGGGUGCCAGCCCAAGCCCAAGGACUAGGUCCAGAGCCACACAGCGCCAGGCCACAUCCGCCUCACCUGGGACCUUUUGUGGGGUACAGUCUCCGGCCCCACCCAGACCUGCUGAAGGAGAGACCCCAUGGCAAGGACUCAGCCACCUGCAGUUUCAUAAGCCCCCAGUGGGUUCCUAGGCAUGAAGACCACCGGUUAGAGGCUGAACUGGCAGGAACCUGUCUCCAGCCCCUUCUCACCCCAGCCGGGCCCUGCCUCAGAGGCAGCACCCAGGACGUGGCCAUGACCCGUGGACUCCACUCAAUCCCUCUUCUCCAGGAGCCAUGCAAAGUGUCAGCCAGCCAGGCCCCUGGAAGGCAGUCAUCACCUCUUAAGGCAUUGCGGGUGUCGGUCCUGCAACUGCCAGGUGCAGCACACGACCCAUGUCCGGUGUUCGAUAGCAGGGAGCCAUGACCUGGCAACGAUUCCACGCUCAAAGGGGCACCCGGGGGGCCCUGGGUCGGGGCGGAUCAGCUUUCCCUGGGCACAUCUGCCUCAUUCCAGAUCUCCAGGGCUCAUGUCUGUGACAGGGAGGGAAGGCUCUGCCCUGGCCUUCCGUCAGCUCUGCCAGUGCAGGCUGGGCAGCCUGGGCUUUAGAGCUGGCUUCUGCCCACACUUUCUCCGUGAAAGGAAAACAACUAUGAGUCUGCCAAACGCAUCUCAGAUGCGUUUUAAAAAAUUCUGGUCCCCGCUCUCUGUCCCAUCAUCUGCCUCGGGGACUUCCUCUCUCCGUGGUUCUCACCCCAUACUCUGUCACUGCCACAUUUUCACCUGGGCCUGGCCUUUGUCUC
rnacentral:lncRNA from 1 species